rnacentral:misc_RNA from 1 species
ACAAAGUGGGAUCCAGUUGGCUGGACAAUAGCCGAGGAAAUAAAGGAGAUUUACGGACACCAGAAGGUUCCUAAUAAACAGUCGAAGACUGCUGCAAUGAUUUCCACCCUCGAGGCAGAGUUAGAGCGGGCUCGCACCCGAAUCCAUCAACUUGAGAUGGAGCGACGGUCAUCAAAAAAGAAACUCGAACAGUUUUUGAGAAAACUUAGUGAAGAG